rfam:Gossypium raimondii Chr10_contig_877, whole genome shotgun sequence.
AAUCUAUAGUGUGGGCAUUUUUGAAUCAAGAUUUUGAAACAUUCCUAUUCCUCAUAGAAACUUUCUCCCUCCAUCUAUCUAAAGAUAAAAAUCUCUCUUCUUAGUUU